CCCUCUCUUCUCCUCACCCUCUCUCUCCCUCUCUUCUCUCUCCCUUUUCCGGCAGCUGCCCCCCUCCUUCUCUCCUCCUCUCCCUCUCGUUUUGCUUUUCUCCCCCUUUUCCUCUUCUUCCCCUCUUUCUCUCUGCCGUCCUUCUCCCCUUUCCCGUCGUUCCCCUUUCUCCCUCUUUCUCCCCAUCGCCUUCUCUCCCCUCCCGUCUCUUCUCUUCCCCUUCCUCUGCUCCUUUCUCUUCUUCUUUUGCAAGCAGUAGGUUCCGGCGAGCAGGAACAGCUCAACCCAGUAGCAACUCUAACCGGUGCCCCUCUCCUCUCCUCUUUCCUCCAGCGAGACACCUGCAACAACAACUCCAGGCAGCAGGCGAAGCAGUAGCAGCGGCCAAGGAAGAAAACAACAAGAACUCCGGCGAGAACCAGCGAGGCGCAUUCUGGUCAGCAGUGGGCAACACCGGGAAAAAUGAUGCGGCUCUACAGACACCACCCACCUACCUCCUCCUCUCUUCCCUCCGGCCAGCGGUAGCAGGAAAUUCCGGUAAAAUUUUCAAAGCUUAGAAGAAGAUUCGGGUUUUGAACUUAGAUUUCAAUAUGUUGAAGAUUUGCCUAGAAGAAAUUGUGGACGAAGCCUCGUUCAUUUUAUUGUUAUAUAUAUGAUUAUUCGCUUUUUAUUUUUACUUGUAAUGUUUGUAUAACUCUCUCACUCUAACUCUCAAUAUUUAAAAAAUAUAUAUAAACAAAAUAUUUGGGGAAUCACCUAAGGGGAUGAGAUUUA